GCCUAAACACACAUGCAGUUUAAAUCACGGAGGAGAAAUGUUAGUUCAGGUUAGAUAAAGCCAGAACCAGAAUAAGUGAAUUGUUUAGUGGUUCAAGAUAAAACCGAGCAGGCUGCAUGUCUACCUGUGUAACCCGUGUAGAGGAGUCCAUCUGGAGUUGGACGGCAUCCUCGAUGGUUCCAAUUUCCAGCCCAUUCCCCAAUUUUCAACCCCAAUGACAGACAACACACACUGGAAUGGCUGUUUAGCUAAAGAAGGGAAUUGUGCAGCUGAGAGUGGAGCUGCUGGCAUCUGUGGUGGCUGGAAGAUGGUUGUCCGUAAUGAACCCUGAUCCGACCUUUGACCUCCUACCCCCGACAACAUCACCAGCUGAGGGCUCACACAGAGGGACUGCUUGUAUG